CCGACCGCGCGCAGUUUUUUUUAUUCCGAGGGGCGGCCCAAAAGACCGCCGCCCUUUUUUGUAAAAAGCGCGUCAUCCAGAAUAAUUUGUUUAAAGACUUUUUUUUUCCAAACAAAAUUUUUUUACAUAAAACCCUCUUUUUUAAACCCAGGGGGAUAGUCCCUAAGACCUGCCCCCCUGAGAGAAGACCCCCUUGUGCUCCCCCCGGGGGGGACCCGCCGCCCCCCCCGCCCGGGGCGCCCCCCGGGCGGGGCGGGGGCACGGGGGGACUCCUACGGGAGGCAGCAGUAGGGAAUCUUCCACAAUGGACGAAAGUCUGAUGGAGCAACGCCGCGUGAGUGAAGAAGGGUUUCGGCUCGUAAAACUCUGUUGUUAAAGAAGAACGAUAUGGUGAGAGUAACUGUUGCUAGGUAGUGACGUACCACCAGAAGCACGUUCCGG
rnacentral:rRNA from 1 species